AAAGGUUAAUGGGCCAUGGGUGUAUGGUAACUAGAGAGAGUGUGCAAAAGAUUGCCUUUGGGCCCUGGAACUUUUCAUCCUUUGGCCCAAAUUCUCCAAGAAUUAUCCAAGAAUCGGUUUUAACAGGAAAAAGCCAAGGACUGUGUCAACGCAACAACACCUUUAGUAACCCAGGGAACGAAAUUUUUACGAAGACUUACAGAAACGUCGCGAAGCAACUCGCACUUCAACCACACACACCCUCUCCGUCACCGCAUCGUUGCUAGAAAAAUGGGAUCCGCUUCGAUUCUGCUUCGAUUUGAAUUCAAGAAUGGCUUCCUAUUCUGUCUGACUGAGACGAGGAUGAAGAACUUCGUGUUCGCCAUUGUGGAUUGAGAUGAAGAGAGCGGAAUAAUUGUUGGUCUAUGAAGGUGUUGUUGCGUUGCCGACGAAGAGAAUGAAUCAACGAAGAAUCCAGAGUAAUUUCCGCGAGAUCUCGAACGAAUCUGUAUCCGAUCCGAAGUCCGGCCAAAUCGUAAGCUCCGAUGAUCCUUCUUCUUCUUCUUCUUCUCGUUCUUAGUUUGUUUCUCUGAAUUCUGUGAAACUCUUUUGGCUAUGGAGUUGUGGUUUUUGGUUUUUGCUACCUCUUCAAUCUCUCUUUCUGUUUCAUUCUAUGAAGGUUGUGUGUAGUUAAAAUGGUGAGUGAAGAUUGGUGAGGUUUGAAUGGUUCAAAGUUGACGGAAGGUUUGGUGAUUUGUGAAGUGGAGAUUUUGAGGAGGGUUGUUGAAUGAUGGUGAAGAUGAUGGAGUGAAGUUGGGGGUUCUGUUAAGGGUGGUCUUAUUGAAGGUUGGGGCGUCAAGAAGCUGUUGUGGGCGUGAGGCUCCGUUAGCCGGUUUUCAGAAGAAAAAAUAGUUAUUUUAACUUUCCGUUCCAUCCCCUUUUUUUCUAUUGGAGUUUGUUAUGAGAAGUAAAUCAGCUCGGUUUUGGGAGGUUUUCUUUGUAGGGUAUUCAAGGAUUGGUUUUGUCAUGUGGAGAGCGAUUGGAGGUCCUUUUUCUUUCAAUGUCAGUUGGAAAUCCUGAGUUAGAGUGUGGAUUUGGUUAGUGUCGUGAGGUUGUAACGGUCGGGAUUCAGUUAUCCUUUCUGUCGGAGGUUAGAAUUUGUUUUUUGAAGACACUCUGCUAGUUAUCAAUGUCAGUUACAAUGUGAUUGCAAUUUUACUGGACAUUCUGUUAGGGAGGUUAGAAAUCCGUACAGGUCAUUGAAGGGUUAUUUUGAAUCGGUUAGAGAAGGGUUAGUUUGUUAGUUGUGUAGAAGUUUGUUGGAAGGUUUAUUGAAUUGGUUGAAAUUGUGUACAUUGGUUUUUCUCUGCUGCAGGUCUUUGAAUGCUAUAAAUUAGAAGGAACUUGGAAUUCUGCCGGUUUUUCUCAAAGUUGGUUCUCAGUUUGGAAGUCAAGAGAUUUUGUUCAAUCUUUUGUGUGAGCAGAUAACUUUUUGGAGUUUAUUUCUCUAUUUCAAUUGUGAUGCAGGGUCAUUGGUUUUAUGUUUUUUCUAUUAUGCUCCCAUUGAGAGGUUUUAUGUUUUUUCUAUUAUGCUCCCAUUGAGAGCUUUUUCUUCCAAUAGUGUAGAAGUAUCUAUUUAAAUCGUUCACUGACACAACACGAGGUGAAUCUAUAUCUAUAUAGGAGUAGCUUGCAACUGGUUGAAUAUGAAGUCAUGACUCACAUAUAGUAAUAAGUAGUAGUAUCUAAAAGCAGUACACGCUGACACGUGAAAGCAGAUGUUGAAUAUGAAGUCAUGACUCAUAUAUAUCCAAAAAGCAGUAGAGACACGUGAAAGCAUUACACUGCACUUUAGUUCACUGACACUGACACUAAAACAGUAAGGCAAGAAAACACUAUUUAUAGGACACUACUUAGGGUUAAAGAGUAUUGAAACAGUAAGACUAUUUAAAGGACACCACUGGCACUUAGUGUUAAAAGAGAAACAGUAAGGCAAGAAAACACUAUUUAUAGGACACUACUUAGUGUUAAAGAGUAUUGAAACAGUAAGACUAUUUAAAGGACACCACUGGCACUUAGUGUUAAAAGAGAGUAAAAUACUUCCACUUAUUAAGCCAGUAUGACAUUGAACCAUAUCACAGGAUCCCACAUCACAUCUCUUUUCCCUUCUUCUCUGUAAGAUUAUCAGCAUUGUCCAAAGGGAAAUCGGUUUUCAUUAACUCCCAUUGAAUCACACCCUCUUUCACUUUUGAAAAUGAUGAUGAUCCUUGACCUCUAAGAAAAUUACUUGCCAUUACAUCCAGCUUCUUUGAUAUACCUCUCAAUUCUUCAUAAUCAUCAUCUCUUUCCAGCAUUUUUCUUUUCAGUUUUAGUUGGAACU
rnacentral:lncRNA from 1 species